rnacentral:misc_RNA from 1 species
GAUGAAGAACGCAGUGAAUUGCGAUAUGUAAUGUGAAUUGCAGAUUUUCAGUGAAUCAUCGAAUCUUUGAACGCAUCUUGCGCUCCUUGGUAUUCUGAGGAGCAUGCCUGUUUGAGUGUCAUUAAAUUCUCAACUACACUGACUUUGAAUUGGUGUGGCUUGGAUUUGGGGGGAAAAUUGUUGUGGGCUUUUUGUAUAGUCUGCUCCCCUGAAAUUGAUUAGCGGUACCUUUGUGGAACUGUCUACAGGUGUGAUAAUUAUCUACAUCUUAGACAUCUGCUGGAAUGCUGCUUUCUAAACCUUACUUGUAUUGACAAUCUUGACCUCAAAUCAGGUAGGACUACCCGCUGAACUUAAGCAUAUCAAUAAGCGGAGGA